UAAAAAAAAGACUCAUAAUCACUCUAAAUUAUCCUAUUUUCAAGCCACAUAUUUCAUAACUAACUGACAAACCUAAACCUCUGCCAAAUCCUAACUAAUAGCACAAGUGAAAGUUUGCCAAAUCCUAACUAAUUACUCUAUUGCUUGAAACAGUAUUUUAUGAGUGAAAGUUUGCAGAAGCAUUAUAUCAAACAAGUGGGGAGGGGCGUAAAAAUAAAAUGAAAAAAUUAAUUCAGAAAGACGAAAAUUUGUUGAUUAUGUUUUCCAUGUCUAGUAGUUGUUGUUUCUUGUCAUUCAAUUUGCCAAGGCUGAAACAAAAAUAUUCCAAAGCUAAUCACAAAUUUUCUUCAAAAACUCCAGCAAUAGAUACAAAACUCAUACAUGUUUUAAGUUCAUAGCCACAUAUCUAUAUUUCAAGUCGCUCAAAAGAUGAUGUAUGAAAGUAAACAAAUAUUCCACAAAAAUGAACACUAUGAACAAAAUGAGAACAUGAUUAAGAAGAGAGAAACAUAUUGUUAACUGCAGUCCGAAACGAAAGUGAAUCUGUAAAAAUUAAGAAAAUAGGGUUGACAAAUUCUAAAGUAUGGUAAGAAUGUUUUGAUCNNNNNNNNNNNNNNNNNNNNAGAGAAUGGUUGUUAAACAAAACAUACCGUGUAUGCAAAAAAAAAAAUAAGUCGGACAUGAAACUUGCCUGCAACAAAAACAGGCCAAACAUGAAGAAAUAUGAGAGUAAUGGAUACACAAUAAAACUGAAAAAAUUAGAAAUAAAACAAAUAGGA
rnacentral:lncRNA from 1 species